rnacentral:rRNA from 1 species
UACGUAGGGUGCGAGCGUUAAUCGGAAUUACUGGGCGUAAAGCGUGCGCAGGCGGCGACAUAAGACAGAUGUGAAAUCCCCGGGCUCAACCUGGGAACUGCGUUUGUGACUGUGUUGCUAGAGUGUAGCAGAGGGGGGUGGAAUUCCACGUGUAGCAGUGAAAUGCGUAGAUAUGUGGAGGAACACCGAUGGCGAAGGCAGCCCCCUGGGUUAACACUGACGCUCAUGCACGAAAGCGUGGGGAGCAAACAGGAUUAGAUACCCCCGUAGUCC